rfam:Hordeum vulgare subsp. vulgare, WGS project CAJW01000000 data, contig: morex_contig_53126
UUACUACUCCCUCCGUCCAGAAUUACUUGUCAGUAAAAUGAAUAAAAAAGGAUGUAUCUAGAACUAAAAUACAUCUAGAUACAUCUAUUCUUAUGACAAGUAUUUCCGGAUGGAGGGAGUAUCAA